rnacentral:lncRNA from 1 species
CUCCCUCCCUCUCCCCACGCCACUCUCCCUACUCCCUCCCUCUCUCUCUAUCUCCCUCUCUCUAGCUCCCCAUGCAGCAGCAGCCCCCCCUCCCUUGGAGCUAGCGACCGAGCCCUCCCAUGCUCCUCCCUCACCUUGGCAGCUCUUCCAUGGCGUCACCCCCUCCUCUACGGUAGCAAGGUGUAGGUGAGCUCCGGGUCAAGAACUUGUGUGCUGAAAUUUCAGAUUCUUGCACUUUCUUCUAAAAUCUUUAACUCGAGUUUGGAAGCUCCUAAAAUAGUAAGACUUAUUUUUUUAGCUUCCAUAUGAAAUGUCCUACCUAUUAGAUCUAUAAUGUGACCUGUUUUAGUAGACGUUUUUGUCUGUGCAAAUUAAAUCUUAAAAAGAGGUUUAGAGAAUAAACGAACUUGCUUCUCUCCAUAGUUUUAAUUAUAAGAAUCCAAAAAUGAUCAAACUUGUUUUGUUAGUUAGAUGUUGUCAUACUCCAUCUAAGAAAAAUAUAAAACUUAUAUGUUGUUCACUGUUUUCUUGGUAUGUUAAUUAAUCUUGUUAACUAUGAAAAAGAUGAUUGUUUUGCUUGUUGUUUUUGGAUCUGUAGCUCCAGUGCUCCAAAUGGAUUGAAAUUUUUACAGUAGCCCCUCUGUGUGAUGCUUAGUGACUGAUAACAAUUUCAUAAUUUAUGGUCAAUGUAUCACUGAGUUAGUGAUUUAACUUGUUUGAUGCAUAUUAAGUAGUUUUAAAUGGUUUAUAAAUAAUAUAUGGAUGUAAAAAUGGAAAAUGGUGUUCCACUGUCCUUGCAAAAUAUUAUAGUAGCCUAAGAAAACUUAAUAUGGUCAUGCAUCCAUAGAAAAUAAUUAAUUUUACAAUUAACUUGCUCUCACAAGUUUUAUUGCAUUAACAAUUUCUUAUUUUUGUAUUAAAUAAAAUAAAAACCUGCGCAUGUGAAAUUUAUAUAUUUGUCAUGAUUUGUUAUUACCUAUGUCUCAUAAAAAUCCCAGCCCCAAAUUAGAUAGUUUCAUAUGGUGCUAAAAUGACACACGUUUUAUAAUAAUAAGAAUUAGAGACAAAUUAGAAGUAAGCAAACCAUGCAUGUUGGAAUUGUUUAUGUCAUGCAAUAAGAUUUGAAAUGUGAAGAAUGGAUAGUGAAUUUAAGAAAUGUUAGCCAAUAGGUUUGGUCAAGCAUGGUAGAGGUUGAAUCGGUUAUGUUGUAGAAUUGAUGCUCGAAAUGAUAGACCCCCUAAAAUAUGCUAUUUUUGGUGACUUGUGUGCUAACCAAUUUAAGUUGAGCAAUGGUUAAGAAAAGAUGAUUAAUCUGCUGCAACUCAUGUUUUUGAGUUGCAAUGUCUAAAAUGGUUUGCUAAGUUUAUACUGUGUUAGCCAACUCAUGUUAAGUAGGAGUCGAUUGCGUUAAGUGAUUGUUAUAUACAUAUUGUGUCUCGGAUUGUGAUGAUAAUGGGUUAGUCAACUUGUUAGAUGGCUUUGGUUAAACUCGUAAUGACGAUAAAUUGCUUGUUGUUGUCUAAAUACGUAUGCUUAUGGUCGCGGAUGAAAAGUAGUAGUACUCAUAUGAUGUCCAAGUUAAAAUGCAAAUUACUGUGUCAAGAGCUCAUCGAUAUACACAUAUACCGGGUUUGAUUAUUGUGGUGAAUACGUUUGUUAAUGGUGUGUGGUAAUUCUAGUGCACGAAAUGACUUGGAUAAAAAUUGGUAAGUUGACUUGUUGAUUCUCAUUUGAUUAUUUUAACUCCAACAAAUGGUAAAGUGUUAGAAUAAUUCAAGUCUCUAGAACACGACAAAUUCUUGAAUUGUAUAGGAGCUGAAAUUUAUUAGUUGUUGUUUUGGACUGCACGCAGUGAUUUCCCCGUGCUGUAUGUUUGAUGAACUAAAUUGUGUUUUCCGUAGAUAUGUGCUAUAUAAAAGUGGUAGAUAACUUUAUUAUCUUGCUGGUGUUAAAAAUUGGCAGCCAUAAACCUGAUCGUUUAGGAGUUGUGCUUUUCACAAGCCCAGCACCUGAAUCUGUCGAAUUUCUGAACAGCUUUCAUAAAUUGCAAUGGUUGCUUAAGUUAAUUUUGAAAUAAGUUAUUGUUGGUCACAAGAAAGUUGUAGAUAACUCUGUCAUCUUAUUUGUGUUAAAAUUUGACAGGCAUAAGUCUGAUCGUUUAGGAGUUAUGCUUUUUACAAAUUCAGUAACUGAAUCUGUCCAAAUUCUGUAUAGAUUUCAUAAACUGCAUUGUUUGCUUAAUUUAAUUUUACAAUCAGUUCAUGGUAGUCAUAAGAAAGUUGUAGAGGUUUUUCUUAUCUUGCUUGUGUUAAAAUUUCAUAACCAUAGACCUGACAGUUUAGGAGUUAUGAAUUUUACAAACUGGUUUCUGUAUUCUGUCCACUCACAAAACAGAUUUCAAAAACUGAAUUGUUUGAUUCAGUUCAACAUAGAAUCAAUUCUUGGUGAUUAUAAAAGUUAUGUAGUGCUUUUUUCAAGAUUUCCAAAAAGUCUUGGAUCACUCUUUUUGGUGGUCUGAAGAUUUAGUUAUAGGUGUUUGAAAUGUGAAGACCGAAUAUGUCCAAUUCUGGACAGCAAAGUCUUCUAGUGUAUUUUACCCUUGAUACAUAUUAAACCAGCCAGGGAUGUUUAUAAAUAAUUUGUAGAACUAUUAAUUAGCUUUCCAGAAAGUCUAAGAUCACUUUGUUUGGAUGUCUGAAUCUUUAGUUGUGAAUUUUUGAAGUUGCAAGUCUGAAUCUGUCCAAAUCUGGACAGAGCUGUUGUAUUAGCACGUUUCAACAUUGCUAAGUGUUGAAUCGUGUUGAGGUCAAAAUACCAAAGUUGUAGUUCACCUUUUAAGCUUUCCAGGAAGUCCUAGUGUGAUAUUUUUGGAUUAAUAUUUGAUGAGUUAUGAUUAAAACAAAUAACUGUUGUAUUGCUGUCCAAAAAUCUGCAAGUGUCCAUUUGAUGGUUGAGUUCACCCUUUUUUAAUAAAAAUGUUUGGUUGGCUCUUAAUUAAUGUAGACUUGCCAUGGAUAAGCUUGAGAUAACAUAUGUGUCCUAUUUUAUAUGUUUCUUUCUCUAAUUGAUUGUGAAAUAGGAGUUCCAUAGAAAUUGAUGCAUAGGUCCUCUAUUAAAUCUGUGUUGGGAUGCCUUGUGUGAUUAAUAGAAAAACUAAGGGAAAGUCAUAGCAAGUUAAAUAAAUGUUCAUACUUGUGAUGUCCUGUUGUGUUGGUUAAUUAUAGAUAGUAAUCGUCGUCCUUCCAGUGGUGUUGAUGUGGUGCGCUCGAUGAAGUGUAGAUAGCUAAUGCUAGCAUAUGGUUGUUACGAUGUCUUACAAUUUAAUGUUUAGUUCGCUACUGUGCCUUUGUAUAUCUUGUGCUACUUUUGUGCUACUUUCAUUAUAUCCAUACAUAUGCAUCUGCAUCUCAUUUAGGACCGAGAGAUGCUGAUCGUGCAAGUGAUGAGGUGCCAACCACAAGAUGCAGUUGGUGGAUGACCUGAAGAAUGGUGGAAUUAACCAGUGGAUGCUCGCCAAGCGAGUACCCCCCAGCAAACACUAUCUAAGUGUUAAAUUAAAGGCAAGCCCCAGUUUUAUGCAUAACCAAUUAUAUUAUGCUAUUUUACUGCACUUAAUGUUUGUAGGAUUGUACUGUGCACUUAAGUGUAGGAGUUGAAUGAAACCCUAGUUGCAUGAACUCAAGUUUCCUUUUGAGAUGGAUACUAGUAUGAUAGGUCGAGUAGUUGCUUUACUAAUUAGGGAUCUCGGUAGAAGUCGAGUGAUUUUUCUAGCAUUCGCGCGAGGUCAGGAAUUGGUUGUAUCCAUUUUUAUAUUGUAAUGAUGAUGGUCUAUGGACAACAAUCCAUGGGGAUGCGUUGUCUAUGAGACGAAAAUUGGAAUAAGGAUUAAGGUGUGGUACCGUGUGUCAAGCGUUUGAACGUACUAAACACAUGCCGAGAAAUAUGGUAAAUUGGUAAGCCUAGUACCUGAGUGAACCUGCCCGCAGACUUUGCCCCUCACGCGACCUGAGAUGUGGUCUCCCAUUCCGGUUAUGGUGGGUACAAGUGCGGUCACUGCACGACGGCAGUCGGGGUCAGUGAGGCAUUGUACGCCAAGGUGGUGAGCCCUGUUCUGUUGCCAGGGAAUCGAUGGGGACGGUUGAUGUGUGUGGGGACAGAGUGCCUCGCCACGUCGUGUGUUUAGGUUUACCUUUUAAGGUUUAAAAACUCGAUUCAAAACGUCUGCUUCUCGCAGCUAAUGAGACUGCUUGAUCCAUGCUGCUACAUUGAGUAAUAAGUGGAAAUGAGGUGACUGGCAAAAGAUGUUGAUUGAUAAAAUGUUUGAUACCAUGCAUGACUAGCUAGGUAAUCAUCUAGUUUAAAAAGGAUCAUACUAAAACAUGAAAAGCUAAAACUUGAUUUUAGACUCAGCUAGUGCUUUUGGCAAACCAAACCCCUCAGCCAAACAGCUGCAUGUCUAGAGGUAGAGGAGUAGACUCCUCACACCGGGUAAGUCUAGCUGAGUAUUAGUAUACUCAGCCUUGCUUGUGGCAUAAUUUUUGUAGGUACCUCCUUGAUUGGUUGCUGGUGUGACUUGACCUUCAUCCUUGCCACCGGGACAGAUGGUCGAGAGGGUUACUGCUUCGCAGGAGAGGACCAGGAGUAGCGUGGCCAGGCUUCGCCAUUAUUACUCGGUUUUCUCCGUUAGUUAUUUUCCGCUGCAUUAAAAUUUAUGGUUAUUAUUUCUGAAACUCUGAUAAUGUAAUUGUUGGGGGUAUGCUUCGUAGCCGAAGAUCCUGAAGAAAGAAACACCUUCAGUAGUGCCGAAGCUAUCACCUAUAAAGCUUCGGCAUAAUGACAUGUUUCAAGACGAAGGAGUGAACCGACUUAAAGAUGAAAUGACCCAUAAACCCAUGAUAGUUUGUGUCAUGAUUGUAAUCAAUUGUAAAGGGCAUAAAUGUAAUUUCACACAGGCUGUGCCCUGUGCCUAUAAAUAGAUGAACCGUAUUCCCGUACUGUUCACGCAAUCUUGUAAUCGCUUGCACGCGACACUUGGAUUAUUGCCUUCUACCAAGACGAAG